UCGUCUCCCACCUCCUCGCGAGGAGGCUCUCUCUCCCCAUUCCUUCGCUCAUGCUGUCGCGAGCCCGCGCCGCCGCCAUUGCUCUCGGCUGCCACAAGCCGCAAUUAGUGCCGCCAUGUGAUGUCUCUGCUCUGUCGUCGCAUCCUCCUCCAAAUCCCUAGCACUGCUCGCCGCUCUCUCGACGCACACGCGCGCCUGCGGCGCGUCUCUGCUGCCAGCCAUGGCUCCGGCCGUCGCCGGCCAUCGCCGACGCCUCCACCUGCGACCAAGCUCGGCCACGGUCGUCUUUGCCAGAUCCCCACCGCCGCCAAGCCACAUCUCCACCGCCACCAAGCCAGAUCCCCAAAUCCCCACCGCCGCCAAGCCAGAUCCCCAGAUCCCCACCGCCGCGGCGCCAAGCCAGAUCCCCAGAUCCCCACCACCUACGAUUCUGCUAUGGGCGCUGCUCCCACGACUCCUGUCCGUUGACCUCACCCUAUGGUGCUUCGGCUGCGCCACCCCGAUGCCCUCUCCUUCAACCUCGAGCCCCAACCCUACUGCCUCGGCUGCGUGGUGGUGACUGUGGCGUGGUGAUGCUGCUGCUGCUGCCUAGGCUGACCGUGCCCUGCCUCGGCUGUCUCCCUCCUCUGCUUCGACUAAGACAUCUGGAGCAUCAACACAAAGAGUAUUUGCAAGGCUAUUAGUAUUUUGCUUGAUCCAUUGCUUAAUCGUGCAAGAGUAUUGCUGAAGUAGUAGUAGUAGCAAUUUUCUCUGUACUUCAGCUCUAUUGCUUUUAGAAGGAAGGUUUUUUUGUCGUUUUUGAUCUGUUGCUUCAGUCUUUUGUUUCUCUUGUAUGAACUGGGUGUACUUCAAUAGUCAACAAAAACCUGAGCCCUGGAUGUACUUCUGAAGACCGAGAUCUUAAUUUGACACUCUUCAUGUCCA